UCCCUAGUGGAUUAGUGGUUAGGCCAUGGUGUUCUCACCGCCACGGCCCGGGUUUGACUCCUGGCCAGGGAU